UUGAUUUCUCCUUCUUUAUUUAAAGGGAGGCAAUCUAAUAGCAUUCAUUGACUCUCAAACAUGAAUGUUUCCUAGAGAGAGUAAGCAAUAAUACGACGCCGUUCCUCAUAGAAUUAUCAAUCCCCAGUAAUAGGAGCAAGUUUGAUUUGAUACAAGGAUGUUGGAGGGAGAAGACAAGUGGAGAUCAUCACAGUGGUGGUGGCUACACAUAAACAAUAAGGCUCGUUCCAAUCGAUCCCUUUCACUCAAUUCAAUUCUUGCAGAGCUAGAUGAGAAGACUAGUUCAACACGGAAGCUCAUCGAGCAAGAUGUAGAGUCAUUUUCAAAACGUGCGGAGGCG